UCCUCAGUCUUUCUGAAUAAAAGACUUUGCUGAGACAGCCACAAAUCCCUGAAAAGAAAUCACUGUCAUUUGGGAGCCUGAGGCUGAUUUUUAUCAAUUCCUAGGCACAAUGAAGCAGAUCCUGGACAGAAGACAGCCAGGUACCAGCAGAAUGUAAGUGUUCCCAAGGCAGCUGCUUGUAGAGGAGUGGUGCGGUGAUGUCUAGGGCUCAGCAUCACACAGACUUCCUUGAAGCUGCUCCUUCUCUCCUUCUUCUUUUUUUCCCAUAGGAUCCUGGGAAAAAGGGGUGCUUGCCAUAACUCAGGGAGAGUUUGGACUCGCAGCAAAAAUGGGUGGGUGGAAAAGCUGUUUUCUGUUUGCUUUUUUUUUUCUACUCC